CUCGACAAGGGCAAACCGGCCGUGAGGUCGAGACGCAAAGCCAUGGGUCUCAUCGGGAGAUCGCCAGGCUGCCGAAG
rnacentral:ncRNA from 1 species